CGACUCUGUAGGUCUGCGUGGAGCCGCAGUUGCGGGUCUCUGUUCCGCAGGAUGGGGUUCGUGAAAGUUGUCAAGAAUAAGGCCUACUUUAAAAGAUACCAAGUGAGAUUUAGAAGGCGGCAAGAGGGUAAAAGUGACUACUAUGCACGGAAACGUUUGGUGAUCCAGGACAAAAAUAAGUACAACACACCGAAAUACAGGAUGAUAGUUCGUGUAACGAACAGAGACAUCAUCUGCCAGAUUGCAUAUGCCCGUAUAGAAGGGGAUAUGAUCGUCUGUGCAGCAUAUGCACAUG
rnacentral:lncRNA from 1 species